rnacentral:rRNA from 1 species
UCAGACCGGAGUAAUCCAGGUCAGUUUCUAUCUAUAUCCGAGUUUCUUCUAGUACGAAAGGACCAAAGAAACGUGGCCUAUAUUUAUACAAGCCACAGCUACCAAAUUAUGAUUUUAACUUAAUAAAUUAGUAGCCCCAAAUUAAUCUCAAAAAAAGAGUUG